AUAGUUUCAUGUAUAUUACAGUGCAAGUAGAGCAUUCCAUUGUUUAGCUGUUUCACUGCUGCCUCGAUUCGCGUAUAAACUAUAUUGCAAAAUUUGCCAUUAAUCAUCGAUGUUCAAACGAAAUUGCCUAGAAAUCGCCAGCCAAGCCAAACAAGCUCAAACUCUUUGCAUAAAUCUCGACCAACUUUUACAACCGUUUGAAAUAAAAACUAAAAAGAGAAGCGGGACUAAAACUGUGCAAAAAUUCAACGAAAAUGGAGCAAAACCUGGAACACUAUUGGCCAAAAGGAGUCAACCAGCCGGGCUUUGACAACGCUUUCCGUGCUCCAUUCGCCGGAUCCAGCGAAGCCAGUUAACCGCAAUAAUUUAUGCCUUUGAGCCGUGUUUGAGUCAAAGUCUUUUGUCUGUCUGUGUGUGUGGGUGUGGGUGUGGGUGUGCCACAUAAUUUUGCCUAUUAAAGUGAAACACUAA